rnacentral:rRNA from 1 species
UAGGGAAUCUUCCACAAUGGGCGAAAGCCUGAUGGAGCAACGCCGCGUGAGUGAUGAAGGUUUUCGGAUCGUAAAACUCUGUUGUUAGGGAAGAACACCCGAGAGAGGAUCUCGGACUGCCGGUACCUAACGAGAAAGCCCCGGCUAACUACGUGCCAGCAGCCGCGGUAAUACGUAGGCAGCGAGCGUUGUUCGGAGUUACUGGGCGGAAAGAGUGCGUAGGCGGCGAGCCAAGUUUGGUGUGAAAUCUCCCGGCUUAACCGGGAGAGUGCGCCGAAAACUGGUUGGCUGGAGUAUGGGAGAGGAAAGCGGAAUUCCUGGUGUAGCGGUGAAAUGCGUAGAUAUCAGGAGGAACACCUGCGGUGUAGACAGCUUUCUGGACCAAAACUGACGCUGAGGCACGAAAGCGUGGGUAGCAAACA